rnacentral:rRNA from 1 species
GAUGAACGCUGGCGGCGUGCUUAACACAUUCAAGUCGAACGAAGAAGAUCGGAGCUUGCUCCGAUCGGAUUAGUGGCGGACGGGUGAGUAACGCGUGAGUAACCUGCCUGCGAGAGGGGGAUAACAACGGGAAACUGUUGCUAAUACCGCAUAACGCAUCGAUUCCGCAUGGAGAUGAUGCCAAAGGGAAACCGCUUGCAGAUGGACUCGCGUCUGAUUAGGUAGUUGGUGAGGUAACGGCUCACCAAGCCGACGAUCAGUAGCCGGACUGAGAGGUUGAACGGCCACAUUGGAACUGAGAUACGGUCCAGACUCCUACGGGAGGCAGCAGUGGGGAAUAUUGGGCAAUGGGCGAAAGCCUGACCCAGCGACGCCGCGUGAAGGAAGAAGGCCUUCGGGUUGUAAACUUUAGUAAGCAGGGAAGAAGAAAGUGACGGUACCUGCAGAGUAAGCCACGGCUAACUACGUG